CCUACGGGAGGCAGCAGUGAGGAAUAUUGGUCAAUGGUCGUGAGCCUGAACCAGCCAAGUCGCGUGAGGGAAGACGGCCCUAUGGAUUGUAAACUUCUUUUGUCGGGGGGCAAAAUACGCCACGCGUGGCGUUCCGUGAGUACCCGAAGAAUAAGCAUCGGCUAACUCCGUGCCAGCAGCCGCGGUAAUACGGAGGAUGCGAGCGUUAUCCGGAUUUAUUGGGUUUAAAGGGUGCGCAGGCGGAAGAUGAAGUCAGCGGUAAAAUUGGGGGGCUCAACCUCUUCGAGCCGUUGAAACUGGUUUUCUUGAGUGAGUGGGAAGUAUGCGGAAUGCGUGGUGUAGCGGUGAAAUGCAUAGAUAUCACGCAGAACUCCGAUUGCGAAGGCAGCAUACGGGCGCUCAACUGACGCUGAUGCUCGAAGGUGUGGGUAUCGAACAGGAUUAGAUACCCUGGUAGUC
rnacentral:rRNA from 1 species